UACGGAGGGUGCAAGCGUUAAUCGGAAUUACUGGGCGUAAAGGGUUCGUAGGUGGUUUGAUAAGUUAUCUGUAAAAGCCCUGGGCUCAACCUAGGAAGGUCAGAUAAAACUGUUGAACUCGAGUAUGGGAGAGGGUAGUGGAAUUUCCGGUGUAGCGGUGAAAUGCGUAGAGAUCGGAAGGAACACCAGUGGCGAAGGCGGCUACCUGGCCUAAUACUGACACUGAGGAACGAAAGCGUGGGGAGCAAAC
rnacentral:rRNA from 1 species